rnacentral:rRNA from 1 species
GACGAACGCUGGCGGCGUGCUUAACACAUGCAAGUCGAACGGAAAGGCCCUGCUUUUGUGGGGUGCUCGAGUGGCGAACGGGUGAGUAACACGUGAGUAACCUGCCCUUGACUUUGGGAUAACUUUAGGAAACUGGGGCUAUUACCGGAUAGGAGCUCCUGCUGCAUGGUGGGGGUUGGAAAGUUUCGGCGGUUGGGGAUGGACUCGCAGCUUAUCAGCUUGUUGGUGGGGUAGUGGCUUACCAAGGCUUUGACGGGUAGCCGGCCUGAGAGGGUGACCGGCCACAUUGGGACUGAGAUACGGCCCAGACUCCUACGGGAGGCAGCAGUGGGGAAUAUUGCACAAUGGGCGGAAGCCUGAUGCAGCAACGCCGCGUGCGGGAUGACGGCCUUCGGGUUGUAAACCGCUUUCGCCUGUGACGAAGCGUGAGUGACGGUAAUGGGUAAAGAAGCACCGGCUAACUACGUG